GAUGAACGCUGGCGGCGUGCUUAACACAUGCAAGUCGAACGAAACACCUUAUUUGAUUUUCUUCGGAACUGAAGAUUUGGUGAUUGAGUGGCGGACGGGUGAGUAACGCGUGGGUAACCUGCCCUGUACAGGGGGAUAACAGUCAGAAAUGACUGCUAAUACCGCAUAAGACCACAGCACCGCAUGGUGCAGGGGUAAAAACUCCGGUGGUACAGGAUGGACCCGCGUCUGAUUAGCUGGUUGGUGAGGUAACGGCCCACCAAGGCGACGAUCAGUAGCCGGCUUGAGAGAGUGAACGGCCACAUUGGGACUGAGACACGGCCCAAACUCCUACGGGAGGCAGCAGUGGGGAAUAUUGCACAAUGGGGGAAACCCUGAUGCAGCGACGCCGCGUGAGUGAAGAAGUAUUUCGGUAUGUAAAGCUCUAUCAGCAGGGAAGAAAAUGACGGUACCUGACUAAGAAGCCCCGGCUAACUACGU
rnacentral:rRNA from 1 species